rnacentral:rRNA from 1 species
AGUGAACGCUGGCGGUAGGCCUAACACAUGCAAGUCGAACGGCAGCACAGUAAGAGCUUGCUCUUACGGGUGGCGAGUGGCGGACGGGUGAGGAAUACAUCGGAAUCUACUUUUUCGUGGGGGAUAACGUAGGGAAACUUACGCUAAUACCGCAUAUGACCUACGGGUGAAAGCAGGGGAUCUUCGGACCUUGCGCGAUUGAAUGAGCCGAUGUCGGAUUAGCUAGUUGGCGGGGUAAAGGCCCACCAAGGCGACGAUCCGUAGCUGGUCUGAGAGAAUGAGCAGCCAGACUGGAUCUGAGACACGGUCCUGACUCCUACAGGACGCAGCAGUGGGGACUAUUAGACGAUGGACGCAAGCCUGAUGCAACCGUGCCGCGUGGGUGGAGAAGGCCUUCGGAUUUUAAAGCCCUUCUCUUGGGAAAGAAAAGCAGCAGGUUAUUACCCCGCUCUUCUGACGGUACCCAAAGAAUAAGCACCGGCUAACUUCGUG